GUGAACCUGCGGAAGGAUCAUUAGCGAAUAAACUUGUGUGGGUUGUUGCUGGCUCCUUCGGGGGCAUGUGCACAUCUGCUCAUUGUUUCAUUCCUCCCUUCCACCUGUGCACUUUCUGUAGACCAAACUGUGACUGUUGUCAGGUAUAUCUAUACCUGGUGUGAGGGUUUGCUCAAGCUGUCCUUGUAUGGUUUGGCCUAUGUUUUUAUUGAACCAAUUGUAUGUUAUUGAAUGUCUUGUUGGGUUUUUACAACCCAUAAAUUUUAUACAACUUUCAACAACGGAUCUCUUGGCUCUCGCAUCGAUGAAGAACGCAGCGAAAUGCGAUAAGUAAUGUGAAUUGCAGAAUUCAGUGAAUCAUCGAAUCUUUGAACGCACCUUGCGCUCCUUGGUAUUCCGAGGAGCAUGCCUGUUUGAGUGUUAUUAAAUCUUCAACCCCAUCUAUCUUGCAAAUGAAUGGGGCUGGAUGGUGGAAGCUUGCUGGCUUUUACAGUCAGCUCUUCUGAAAAAUAUUAGCAGGGCCCACCUUGCGCUGCAGUGUGGUAUUGAUAGUUGUCUUACCAGGCUUGCAGGGCUGUAACGUGCUCAGCUUCAAGCUGUCUCAUCUCUGGGACAAUACACUGACGAUU
rnacentral:rRNA from 1 species